rnacentral:rRNA from 1 species
AUGGCAUGCAUUUCGAAGACCAUGAGUUCGAGGUGGACGAGGAGGGUGAGGGCAUUGUCGACGCGCCGAAAGGAAGAGCGGGAAAUUACACCAACGCCGAUGACAUCUUACUAUGCAAUACUUGGUUGCAAGUGUCGAGGGAUCCAUCCGUUGGAGGUGAUCAAAGUAGAGAUGCUUAUUGGGGGCGGAUGA